UACGUAGGGUGCGAGCGUUGUCCGGAAUUAUUGGGCGUAAAGAGCUUGUAGGCGGUUUGUCGCGUCUGCUGUGAAAAUCCGAGGCUCAACCUCGGACUUGCAGUGGAUACGGGCAGACUAGAGUGUGGUAGGGGAGACUGGAAUUCCUGGUGUAGCGGUGGAAUGCGCAGAUAUCAGGAGGAACACCGAUGGCGAAGGCAGGUCUCUGGGCCAUUACUGACACUGAGAAGCGAAAGCAUGGGGAGCGAACAGG
rnacentral:rRNA from 1 species